GGGCACGACACCGGAGAGGGAGCCUGAGAAACGGCUACCACAUCCAAGGAUGGCAGCAGGCGCGCAAAUUACCCAAUCCCGACACGGGGAGGUAGUGACAAUAAAUAACAAUACGGGGUUCUUUCGGAUCUCGUAAUUGGAAUGAGUACAAUUUAAAUCUCUUAACGAGGAACAAUUGGAGGGCAAGUCUGGUGCCAGCAGCCGCGGUAAUUCCAGCUCCAAUAGCGUAUAUUAAAGUUGUUGCAGUUAAAAAGCUCGUAGUUGAAUUUCGGGAUCAGAUUGUCGGUCGUGCCUCGGUACGCACUGGCAUUAUUGGUUCCUACCUUCUGAAGAACCGCGAUGUCAUUAAUUUGGUGUCGUGGGGAAUCAGGACUGUUACUUUGAAAAAAUUAGAGUGUUUAAAGCAGGCGCACGCUUGAAUACAUUAGCAUGGAAUAAUGAAAUAGGACGUUUGAUUCUAUUUUGUUGGUUUCUAGGAUCGACGUAAUGAUUAAUAGGGAUAGUUGGGGGCAUUAGUAUUCAAUUGUCAGAGGUGAAAUUCUUGGAUUUAUUGAAGACUAACUACUGCGAAAGCAUUUGCCAAGGAUGUUUUCAUUAAUCAAGAACGAAAGUUAGGGGAUCGAAGACGAUCAGAUACCGUCGUAGUCUUAACCAUAAACUAUGCCGACUAGGGAUCGGAUGAUGUUAAUUUUUUAAUGACUCAUUCGGCGCCUUACGGGAAACCAA
rnacentral:rRNA from 1 species